UCUUCCUUCUACACAGUUUGCCUUGUAGCCUUGCAUCCAGAGAUGUGAUGUGACCUCUCAAACCACGCUGGGACCGUCUGUGUUCUAGAGAGGCAGAGCAAUGCCCCCACAUGGUCAGCAGUGCACCCAACUGAAUGCUGGGCACCUUCUCAUUGCUUAAUUCUCCGUCCAGCUAGCAAGUACCUGAAGUGAUAAACCCGUGAGUGUUCUAACUGGUAGGUUCUUGUGGAAACCACGAAGCUCUCUAAACUACGGACAAGUACAUUUGUUCACUUCAAAUAUUCUCUUGCUAUUCCUUAUGGAAAGAACAUCUUUUUGGACCCUGGAAGACAGUUUGAAUAGAGGGAAGACAUCCUCAGCAGUCCGCAUGGAACACGUUGAUGAAAGUGCUGGGAGCAGCUCCCUGUUGUAGUGAUGCUGUGCCCUUGCAGGGGGGAUAGGAACAGUUGAUAGCUGUUCACAAGCCAUGCUGAGAGGUGGCAUGGCUCAUGGUAGAUCAGAUUCAGAGCCAGAGGGGCUCGGAAAUCACCUGGCCCAGCCCCUCAUCACAAGGUGAGGCAACCUGCAAGGGGUGAUCUAUUUUAGUCUUCAAAAGACAGCUAACCCACCACUGAUGCCUUGUUAAGCUAAGCCCAUGAUUAUUAGGAAGCCAAACAGGUUAAGUGGGACUUCGUCUGUUCCACCAAGCAGAGACCCAAUGUGAAAAUUUCUUGGUGUCUUCCUGACUGAUAUAAACAAAUGUGUACCCACAUUCUUUGACCCACUAAUUUUAAUUAAUUUGGUAGUCUUGAUUCAAGUACAUUUGACAAGGGAAGACAAAGACAAGAAUGUCUUUAUCAAUAUGAACUAUCACUACCAUUUUGGAAUAUUGGUCUAUUUCUCAUCUUUUUUCUCCCUCACACUAUUAAUGUCUAAAUAGGGGACUUGUGUUUCUAGGAUUAAAAAUAAUUCAAUUAUUGAUAUCUGUGUAUGAUCUCAGCCAAUAACUUGUCUAAAGGGAAUAUUUUAUUCCUGGGCUAAGAAUAUAUUUCUGUAUCCAAUGCACAUUUUUAAAACAUAAUUUUCAUUAAGAAAUAUUACACACAUGUAAAGAAAGUAUGGAAAACAUAAAUGUAUGCUUUAAUGAAUUAUUACAUGAACACUAAUGUAACUACUAUCUAGAUCAAGAUGUAAAAUGUUGUCAGUAUGUCUUCUGUCUAACCUCGUCCUGAUGUUAAUGUCUCCUAGCUAAACAUCACCAGGGGCACAAGUUGGGUUUACUAUUUGAAAAGAGAGAACAAAGACCAGGUGGAAUGGCAGAGCUUUCCAGCCGGAGGGUGUUAGAAAGAACCUAUUAUAGGAUUUGACUUGUGCUUGGUAAUUUGGGGUGGGGGGAAUCUAAGGAACUAGGACUGUCUUUGGAUUGGAUCUUCUCAGGAAAUAAGAGAAAAUUUUUAAUUUGAUGCCUCAGUAAGUCUUACCGAGAAAGACGAAGGACUAGAUCUAGGCUGAACCUGUAACUGGUAAAGAUGUAGCCGUCACUCACAUUAUCCAGGAGAAGGGGAUAUUUGCAGUUCUGUGGCUUGGAAAAUGUUCAUAUUUUGUCUGUGUUCAGAUGUGAUUGUUGGGGAAUCUUGUUUUUGCCUUAUUCCAUGACUGAUGUUGUCUGAUGCUGUCUGAUGCUGAUGUUCUCUGACUUGUUUGUCUUCAACAGGAGAGCACCAAGGGCUUACUCAAGGUACAAGGCCAGCCCCUGACCAUAAGGGCAGAAGAGGGUACCAUAUCCCCUUCCCAUGCCCCCCUUCCUGAGAGUAGGGAUGGACUAGCAACCACUGUGUCAUUUAAAUGUACCUUUUGUAAUGACAAGAAUUAAGGUAUUGAAAUUGUCUACUUGAUAGGGAUAGGUAAGUUUUUUUAAUCUCAUGUUCACAUUGAGGUUUUUUUUUCUCCUCCAGAUCAACAUCAAAACAAUUCUUCUUUUUCCUCAAUUGUUUAAUUAACUUCUGAAGAAGGCAUUUAAGGAUUAAAUAAUUAGAUGAC
rnacentral:lncRNA from 1 species